rnacentral:rRNA from 1 species
CCUACGGGGUGCAGCAGUGAGGAAUAUUGGUCAAUGGACGCAAGUCUGAACCAGCCAUUCCGCGUGCAGGAAGACGGCUCUAUGAGUUGUAAACUGCUUUUGUACGAGGGUAAACGCAGAUACGCGUAUCUGUCUGAAAGUAUCGUACGAAUAAGGAUCGGCUAACUCCGUGCCAGCAGCCGCGGUAAUACGGAGGAUUCAAGCGUUAUCCGGAUUUGUUGGGUUUAAAGGGUGCGUAGGCGGUCGGAUAAGUUAGAGGUGAAAUCCCGAGGCUCAACUUCGGAAUUGCCUCUGAUACGGUUCGGCUAGAGAGUAGUUGCGGUAGGCGGAAUGUAUGGUGUAGCAGUGAAAUGCUUAGAGAUCAUACAGAACACCGAUUGCGAAGGCAGCUUACCAAGCUACUUCUGACGUUGAGGCACGAAAGCGUGGGGAGCAAACAGGAUUAGAUACCCCUGUAGUC